rnacentral:lncRNA from 1 species
AUAAUAUACUUAUCUUGUGGGAUGAGCAAGAAACAUGGGGUGCAUAUAUCAUAUAUGUAAAGAGAUGAAUAUAAUCUUGGAUACUAAAUCUUAUGAGUUUAAGGAUCGAUAAUAAAAGGAAAUAUCAUGAAGUAAUGAAACUGACUCAAUCAAAUUGAAUUCAUGGGUGUGAUGUGUAUAUAUUGUAUCAGCCAGUGAUACGUUAUUUAAAAUAACAGUUUUGACGUAUGAUAACCAGUUCACUACAUCAUUUUUCAUGUGUAGCUGAUAUCACAUGGAAAAAUUGAUGUAAAUUUGUAUUUAUAUAAUUGUCUUGUGUAGUUGGUCGGCCCGAUUUUGGGUCAGCCUUUGUUUCUAAUGAAAGUUGCUGUUAAAAAAAUGUGUAGCAGAUAUCUUUAUUUGUUCGAGCUUGUUUGGUACUUUGUGCAAGUACCCCUUAACUAAUAAUUAAUUAACAGUUACGUUGAUUUUAGGAAUAACUAUUAGGGCAUGAACACAUACACAUAAACAUAUAUGAAUAGUGUAGUGUUAUGAUAAAUUUUUAUAAAUAAAUAAUUAAAUUAAUCAUUAAAAUACUAAAAUAACAAAGUACAAACUAACGGCAGCUAAACGGGCAACAAGCUGCGCCACAACCCCUUUUGAAUUGCAAAACCGAUUCAAAUAAAGACGGAGCGACUCUUAAGGGUCGAUAAAUUAUUAUUAACGACCCGCUGGACCCUGUUGAAGAAUUCCACGGCCCCUAGGGCUAGAGAACCAAAUGUUUUAAAAGCAAAUCAGAUAAAUACGUGCUGAUUCUCUAAACAACCUUUCUCUUGUAGUAAUUUUUUAGCUCUAUAUCAUUAAAGUUGUAAUAUGAUAUUAUCCUUUAUAUUAUGAAGAUUAUGUUUCGAUGAUAAACAUAUAAAACCAUUAUAUUUAAAAAUAACUAGCAUUAAGCACCCCCCACGUUACGGUGGGGCCACUAACACUGAACAUGCGACGUGUUAAUGCGAAUAACUUAGACCGAAAUGUAAAACAUAGAAAAGAAUAACUAAGUUGACAUAGGACUCGUGCGUUGCAACGAACCUAUCAAACUGGAAAAAAUAGACAACAUAAAAAUGUUGAACCGCACACACGUUACGGCGUGUUAAUUCGCGGAAUUUAAAACAGAACGUAAAACGGAAAAUUUGCGUAAGAUGGAAAAUAUAAGGGACCAAAGUUGAAAGUAAAAAAAUUGUGAGGUUAAAUUGCGAAAGACGGAAACUUUUGGGUUAAAAGUAAAAAAAUCAAAUAAGUUUGGAAUAAAGUGAAAAAUCAAUUUUUUUUUAAAUCCCCUAAGCAUUGAGUAAUCAGUAAACCCACUCAAUGCAUACAGUUGUUGGAAAUUUAUGAUAUGGAAAUGGUUUGUCAAAAAGUUAAUAUGUUAAUAUCUUUUAUAACUAUGAAAUAAACAAUUAUGAUACAAAGAGCAUAAAUUCUUUCGGAAAUCACAAUAUGAUGAAAAAUUAAUAUAUCAACAAACAAAAGAAUCGUUGGACCAUACCACCUAGUUUAAUCCACAUAUGACCUAAGAUCUUUAAACUAUUCGGCACGAGACACUAUUCGAACCAUAACUAAUCGCUUGUAAGCUUGAAUCGGAUAAAUUUGUCAUCCAUAGCUGUGGACCGCCAGAUUCCCCUUCAAUGUUAUAAGCAUACGAAGGCCAUCUGACGUUGUUUCCACAUGCGUGCGAAAUUCCUGUUUUGAUUAUCUUUUGAGUUCUCUCGAGAACCAAAAGACUAGAAAACGUGGAAUAACUAUUGCCCACAAAAACAUCGGCGUUUAAGCAAACUUCAUAGUCUAUCGCUGCUUGAAUUAGAUACGAAUGGUUCUUGUAAAUCUCAGUUAACCCUAAUCGCUUUUUGUCAACCGGAUGCAUACCCUCUUUCCAACCAUUCAAAAUUGAAUCAUCUUCAAGAAGCUCAUUAGCCACGGCGAGAUAAAGAGUCGUUGGUGGUUUUAGGGCGGGAAUAUUCGCUACUCUAGUUGUAAUCUCCUCUUUACUACUACAAAUGUUUGUUAAAUUUGAUCGUCGUUCUCGAUUUUUACAAUGUAUCAUCCAAUCUUUUUCGAUCCUCAUAUGGAUCGCUACAUAUGGUGUUUGAUACGAAGAAGAAGCGCUCUUUACUUCACUUCCAAACUCUCUAAUCUUCGCCACGACUUCAUUUGCUUCUUUUGAGAUUUCAUCUACUAAAACCAAACAUUCAAACACCUUUGCAUAAUCGCUAACGGGCCAAUGAUCAUGCCAUAGAAAAGGGUUCUUCCCAACUACUCGAAUAGUCUCAUACGCAUCAUAAUCUCGCUUGCUAAACUCUUUCAAUUGAUCAAGAUCUCUUUCAAGUGUCCAUCUCCUACCACUACCCUUUUGAACCUCGAUUACAUUGCUUCGAUUCCCAAUAUCGGAAUACCUACUCACGCGCACAAACCCAUCACAAAGAGAGUUAAACCUCUCAACGUUGAAGACUUUAUCGAACGAAAUAGGUUCCAAUCGAUCGAUUUCUUUGUAAAACAAAGACGCGCUUAAACUAGGCAUUAGAAGGGACCUAUUCAACAUUCGUGCGGUCAAACAAGCUCUUGCAAAGGCAAUCUUUUGAUUGUUUAAUCCCCAAACAAUUUGAGGCACCUCUAAGAACUUCAUUCUUACAUGAUUCCACUCGAAUUCGUUGUUUUUAAACCGACCAAAGGGAAACGGGCUAGGGAGUAAAAGAGUUCUAAAGAUCAAAACCAUAACAAACAAGAACACACAUAUGGAAACCAAAUAACUCACAUGACACUUGAAAAACUUCACAUGUUUCAACUUUAACAACUCCAUUAAAGAUUCAAAAAUGCUACAUAACUCAAAAACUCAUCUCAAUUGAAUAAUAUAACUUAAAAAAAUAAAAAAAAUAAAAAAAUAAAACAAUCUCUCACCUGUUCACCAUGUAGAAACCAUCAAAGUGAGCCCAAUUCGAUCUCGAACAAAUUCAAUUCAACGGAAUCGAUCAAUCUUUGAGCAUAUGUUUCUCUCAGGCAUUUAAACAAACACUUGCAAGGGUGUUUGUUGGACCUAAAAUUCGAUCAAAAAGCUCAAAUCUUUCCACCUAAUUUGGAUCAAAAUUAUUCAAAAACUCAAUAAUCAAGCUCAAUUUGAUGAACCCAGAACGGAUCAACCAAAAUCUUUAAAGAAUUAUGAGAAUUUCGGGUAGAAACAAAAAGGAAAAAACAGGGGAAACGACGAUCACGAGCCGUGCAUGAAGAGAAAAAUAAAGAAAAUGAU